GAGAGGUACAACGGGACGUGGAGUUGGAUCGAGCUGUCUCGUAAGGAAUAUCGGAAGGGGUGGGGACACUACUGGGAGAUGGCAUAGGUCCAGGACACUAAUUAGGCUUUGGCUGAGAUCAGAUAAAGGAAACUGUUCGUAAGCUGCUUACUUAAAAAGAAAGGAAAAGGUGCGUUUGAGUUCAGGAGACUGCGAGUCCCAGAGCAGGAGGCGGGAGCCAGCGAAGGGUGGGCGUGUAAGGGGUGCAGUCGCUUCUCCCGCUGGGCAAGAGACUCCCCCUUUCGGCAGCCUGGGUUCCCCGCCUCCCCACCUCCUGCUCCUCCUCCCCCGAGCCCUAAGGGCCCGCAGGGCCUCCAGUAGCAAAGCCACUGGCCCCGCGUCCCCGCGUCCCCCUGCGCCGCGCCCCGGGGCGCAGGCAGGGACCACGCGGCCGGCGUGGGGGCGGCGCCACCCGCAGCAGAAAGCCCCGGCGUGGACCGCGUGGCGUAGGAAAGCGCUCCCCUCGCCCCCAGCCGCAGAGGGCUUGGGCAGCAUCGGGCGCGGCCCCGGGAGAGUGCGUCCGCGGCGCCAGCGGCUGCAGGGUGACCUGUUUCGGGCGGGGACACUCACCAGAAGAACACGCGUGAGCAGAGGACCAAACGACGGUGCCAUGGGAGGCUCUUCAACCUGUGAGCCAAACAUUUGACCUUGGACGACAGCAAAGUUUAGCCACAGAUUAUCCUUGUAGAGCUGCAAGACCUCAAGAAAGCCGGGCUAGUCAAGUGAAGCAGUGGGAGUGGAAAAGGAGCAAAG
rnacentral:lncRNA from 1 species